UACGUAGGGGGCAAGCGUUGUCCGGAUUUAUUGGGCGUAAAGAGCGUGUAGGCGGCCAAAUAGGUCGGUUGUGAAAACUGGAGGCUUAACCUCCAGACGUCGACCGAAACCAUCUGGCUAGAGUCCGGAAGAGGAGAGUGGAAUUCCUGGUGUAGCGGUGAAAUGCGCAGAUAUCAGGAAGAACACCCGUGGCGAAGGCGGCUCUCUGGGACGGUACUGACGCUGAGGCGCGACAGCGUGGGGAGCAAACAGG
rnacentral:rRNA from 1 species